rnacentral:sRNA from 1 species
GUUAGUUCAUUGCAACUGUUCUGCACGAUGAAGGUACAAGUGGUUCUCCUGAUCUGCGGGUUGGCAUACGCUUACUGUGAGGCCUGCCAUUCCACAGCCGACUGUACCCUGGCCUGUAGCGAUGGAACACUAGCCUGUUACCACGGCAGCUGUAGCUGUAUCAAAAGCUCAGGAGCAUCCUGUGUGACAGCAGACACGUGUGAAACUUGUGAAUUUGGCCGCGCCCACUGCUGGGGAGGAAUAUGUCAUUGUUUUGGUCACUGAAUAAACUCAUUAACCCGG